GCUUGAGCCACAUCCAGCCCAAAGGUGCUUCUGGGACCAGAACAGUAGCAAGCCAAAUACUUUGAAAACACAGCUGUCCAUCAGACACCCUGAGCGGAUCCCUUUUUGCCAGUGGAUGACCUCCUGGGGUGUUGGAGAACUCCUAGGCAUCUGGCCAGUGGUGAAUAGACUUGCACAGGCAGAUUCCAGUGUGGACAAACCACCAGUGAAAACUGUCGUGACCAGGAAGGCCUGGUCCGGCAAGGAAGCGAGGAAGUAUGCCCUCCAGCAACAGCUCUGGCUUUGCCCUGCUCUGGGGCUCAAUUUCCUCAGCCCACUGGUCACAUCAGUCCUGCAGCUGCACUGCAGCACCUGAAGACAGGUGCUCUCCACACACAGCCCUGAGGAAGAACUUCAUGGUGUCCGCUUUUCUGUUCCUGAGCCAAUCAACGGGGCAAGAGCAGCGUGGCUAGAAAGGGUCAGGCCUGGGAUGCAGUCACAGGAUUGGCAGAUAAGACAAUGAGGAUCCAGGAGCAGCUUGUCUGAAGCCCUUUGGCUGUUGACAGAAUCAGGCCCAGGCCCAGGCCUCCUCCAUGUCAACAUGGAGCAAGGACAGAGCUGAGUAGGGACCAUCACUCUGCUCACGGCUCCUUCCAACAGUCUCAACAUACCCUGUGAUGCCUUCCCCUUAAUGGACUGAACGUCUGGUGCUACCUGGCACCUGGUGCCAGGAUAGCCAUCCACAGAGCUAAGAAGGCCCUGACUCAGACCAUUCCCCAGGAGACUGCCUCUCGCAGAUAUGCAAGGACAAGACGUGCAAGGAGCCAGGCUGACACUUCCUUGACUGCCACGGUCAGCAAGCCAAGCUGUUAACAAGGAAGCGAGAAUGAGUGAACGCGGCGCAAGUGUCUGAGAGAAAAUAAAACUCUACCCAGUAGGGCAGCGGGCUGCGGAGUGAGCCUGAGGUUGAAGGACGGUCCAGGCAGCUGGCCUGCUGGAUACUCAGACGUAGUCCUGACUACCCAAGGCCUGUGACGUGGUGGGACAGCAGAAAUCAUCAUUCACCUCUCGCCUGCAGGACCUGGGGCACAGCCUCUGGACCAAGAGUUGACAGUCUCUUUCCCAGGCUCUCAUUUCUCAUGACAUCUUCAUAAUAAUUCCUGGAUACAAACA